UUAAAAAGCUCGUAGUUGAAUUUCUAGUCAACCGUUAGCUGGCUUCACAGUCGUUAACGAUUGCCUAUCCGACAUUGAACUAUAAUGGUUAUUAAGUUAACCUUAUAGCGAACUGUCAUUUUACUUUGAAAAAAUUAGAGUGUUUCAGGCAGGCAAUUGCCCGAAUAUCUUAGCAUGGAAUAAUGGAAUAGGACUUUGGUUCAUUUGAUUGGUUAUUGUAUCAGAGUAAUGAUUAAUAGGGACAGUUGGGGGCAUUAGUAUUUAAUUGUCAGAGGUGAAAUUCUUGGAUUUAUUAAAGACUAACUUAUGCGAAAGCAUUUGCCAAGGAUGUUUUCAUUAAUCAAGAACGAAAGUUAGGGGAUCAAAGACGAUCAGAUACCGUCCUAGUCUUAACUAUAAACUAUACCGACUCAGGAUUGGCGAUGCCAUAAGCUUCGUCAGCACUGUAUGAGAAAUUAAAGUCUUUGGGUUCUGGGGGGAGUAUGGUCGCAAGGCUGAAACUUAAAGGAAUUGACGGAAGGGCACCACCAGGAGUGGAGCCUGCGGCUUAAUUUGACUCAACACGGGGAAACUUACCAAGGCCAAACAGAGGUGGGAUUGACAGAUUGAGAGCUCUUUCUUGAUUCUUUGGGUGGUGGUGCAUGGCCGUUCUUAGUUGGUGGAGUGAUUUGUC
rnacentral:rRNA from 1 species